rnacentral:sRNA from 1 species
UUGACACUAAGGGCGGAGUGACAUAAUUUCAGGAGUGAGGGUUAGGGAGAGGUUUCCCCCUCCCCCUGGUGUUCUUAGUAAGCCUGGAAGCUAAUCACUAAGAGUAUCAACAGUAUGAUGACGUGCUUCAUCAUAACCCUUUCCUUAUU